rnacentral:ncRNA from 1 species
UAUAAUAAAAAAUCUCAUAUAUACCCAUAAUAUGGCUGGGAGUUUCUACGGUUUACCUUAAAUUAACCGCUAUGAGUGAAAAAAAUG